CAAGCUAUUUGACGUAAAUAGUUUUAAUUUUUUUUUUGCUCAGAAAUACCUCUCUGAUAUUUUUUGAAUCUUCAUGAAUCUUGUUCCACGAUUUCAUAUAUUUAAUUUCUGAUUACGUUCCUUUUUUUAAUAACCAUAAUUCGUAAAGUAAGCAAGAAUAAUGUUUGUAGUGUUUUUUUUUUACUGAUGUUGCGUUAAUACUUGUACAUGUUUAUUUCUUUAUUUUCCCUUGCACGUAAAUGUGAUGUACAGUGACGUACAUAGAGUCUGAGCACUGAAGCUGUCACAUCUAGCCAUUUUUCUUUUUCUUUUGCAUUCCACCCCAAAGUUGUAUUUCUUUUACAUCGUUAUCGAUCAGAUUGUUUAUUUAAGUAAAAGCUACGUGACUUCCAGACGGCAAACUGGUUUCUUUUAUGUGUUUUUCUAAAAUAGGAGCUAGGUCAAGCUAGCCAACGAGCGGCGCAAAAGUUAGGGUCCUCUGAGCCAACGAGCCAUGACCAAGGUCCUCUGAGUGAAAAAUCUCAUGACCAUUUUCGAGUGUUCUUUGGGUUACAUUCCCACCACUCAUUUUUGGACGGCCUAUGUUCAAACCCCCUCUCAGGCAGUGCGAAGCCAAUCAGCAGUCAUGGAAGAUCUAACCGCUCCAUUAUAAUUUAUCCCUUUUUGAUUUAUAAUUGUUGGUUUAUUGCAUUUUACAUUUCUUUAAAUAAUUUAAAUUUGAGUGCGAAGAGUCGUUAAUUUAUCGUUUUGUUUGCAGAAUACAUUUAAAUAAUAAAUAUUAGUUAAUAAUAAUAAACAUCAGAGUGGUAUGCGCUGAAAUUUCUUAAUUUAUCGAAUAUUUAAUAUUUUUAAAUUCAUUCUCUCCUACGGAUUGUUGAUCUGUUGGGGUUUUCAUCCCCAAUCAUUUAAAAUUCCGCCAAGGGAAUACCACCCAUAGGCCCUGUGUCACUCUGGGACUGAGGUUCUGUUUCGCCUUCAGGCAAGCAGCAAAUUUGACUGUCUUCUCCAUCGCCUGACUGUGCAGGGCUAAGUCCCAAUGCCUUCGGCUUCUUAUGGAAAGACUACAGGGGUUUACAUUCCCACUUUCAUUAUUUUCAGGGGUACACAAAUCCCCACCUUCAUAACUGGCACCCGACGGACCAAGUUCCGGUUCCGGCCCAGUGUUUUCGGCCCGCCUCACAGCCCCAUGUUUAGAGUUUUUGUCACGUGACACCAUUCCCAACAUCUGAGAUCAACUUUCCUCAUGACUUCAUUCACCGUUAAGGGUAAUUAAAUUAAUUAUAAUACACCUUCGAAUUGACCGUAAAAUUAUUUUUUGUAAGUAGUAGGAUACAGACGAACCUGGUACUAGUUUUACUAAUAAGUGUAGGUUUGUUUUUUUAUUUUCCCUAUAUGCUCCGCAUUUAAGCGGGGGAGUAUGUGCCGAAUCAGUACUACUUUAGGCACGAUUUUUUUUAUUUUCUUAGUUUUACAAAAUUUUAAAUUUUUUUAUAACUUCAAUUUUCCUCCUUCACCCGCUGCUUUCGCCCCCAUCCAAACUUGUUCGGUCGAGUGUACCGGCAGGUUAGCUUGUUGAGCAGUAUAGUGCUCUCACCGCCGUUUCCCACCAAAUUUGCUGGGUCUAGCCGACUACAGGACUAUCAUCAGCAACGGUAUCCACUGGCCGUCGCGUUUCGUCACGAGUUUAGCGCUACGCGUGACGAAAGUAGCCGCCCUAAGCUUCCCAUGGUCACCCCCACCCCUUCUCGGAGGUGUGCUGAAGUUUGCGGUCUCUAACACGUUUUGGUGUCCUUUUUUCAAGCUCCGCCGCACGUCCCGACGCCGGGCCGGCGAAGCCUCCCAGGGCAGGUCAUUCACCGGACAUACCCCCCACCCCUCCCUGGUCCACAGCGGUCAUCGGCCAGCCGCGCCAGUGACCAAUCUCAAGGCCAAAAUCCCCCCCCCCCCCACUUGCAAAAUGGCGGCCACCAAGUGCCACGAUGGUCUCUGCGAGACUCCGAUCUGCAUGCCCACGCCAUCUAGCGGCGAAAGGACGAACCAGCUAUCCCCUAUCCCCACCAGGAGAAACAGUCGACCUCACACUUAGUCGAUAGGUCGCCAGAGCCCUUUUUUUUCUUUCGGAGCCCUUCGGAGCACUUCGGGUUUCCCGAUCCCCUCCUCCAGAGGAACAGACGACCGAACUAAAGUUUAAGUUAGCGUCCCGGCGCCAUUUUCAGGGAUUUUGAGGGCAGCUCUCGUCCAGCGCGCAUCUUUGCAACAGGUCGCAGUAACGACCAGCAGCUAUCGUGAUCCGCUUUCGGCGAUAAUGUAGUUGCUUCUGAGCCAGGCCAUGUCGCCUAGAUUUUUUUUAGUUUUUCUUAGUAGCUGCCCAAAUAGCUAAGUUUAACUUUAGUUUUUUUUUUGGUUUUCGCCAUAACUAUUUCUUCUAUGGCUACCGCGAGCUCCCGUGCCGCGCAUCCCCGGAUCACCCCCAGGGACAGCCACUAUCUACUUCACCCUGCCAGCUAAGGCAGGGUUCCAGAAUCCCAGAGGGUUCCAGAAUCCCAGAGUACUUCAAGGACCCCAGACCAGUUCAAGAUGGCGGCCCAGUUCCGGCGCCACAUUUUGCACCUCAACAUGUAACUCGUGAGCCUCUAUAACGGAGUCUCCCUCCAUCUUUCGGCACCCCUCAAAAAGAAGUGAAGAACAGUUUAUAACUCCGCCAGUUUUAGGACAUUAUCCAUAUUAUUAUAAAAUAUUGUAUUUUAAACACAUAUAUUUGUUUUAUGAGCCUGCGAGCUCAAUGUUCCUAAACAGUUGAACUUAGCAUAGUAUGAAAUUGUGUUCCCCCCCCCCGGCCCCUCUUUCUCCUUUUUUUAUUCGUUAGUUACUCAAUGUAAUGUAUCAAAAAUAAGAAUCUGACAUUGUUAGCAGUUUUGUUUGUAAUGGCUGUAAUGCCGCAAGAUAUUUUCUAAUGUAAGAAACCUAUCAAUGAAAAGAUACUAAACUACUAAUCAACAGUAAAAGCCUCUAAUGAAACCAAA